GGUGAGUAACACGUGGAUAACCUACCUAUGAGACUGGGAUAACUUCGGGAAACCGGAGCUAAUACCGGAUAAUAUAUUGAACCGCAUGGUUCAAUAGUGAAAGACGGUUUUGCUGUCACUUAUAGAUGGAUCCGCGCCGCAUUAGCUAGUUGGUAAGGUAACGGCUUACCAAGGCAACGAUGCGUAGCCGACCUGAGAGGGUGAUCGGCCACACUGGAACUGAGACACGGUCCAG
rnacentral:rRNA from 1 species